AAAGGUAAUCAUGUAAGAUUAAACCAAACUAGUGUAUAGAUUAGAUUUUCAUAUUGUUUCACUGAAGUAAUAAAAUACACAUUCUUAAUUUUAAGGAAGUAUUUAAGAAGGCUGCUCACAUCCACCUUAUAGCUGAGAUGGAGGAGUUACAGGAUCGAUAUAAACAGAUAGCGCUUGGG